rnacentral:rRNA from 1 species
AUUGAACGCUUGCGGCAGGCCUAACACAUGCAAGUCGAGCGGAGCGGCGGACGGGUGAGUAAUGCAUAGGCAUCUGCCUGGUAGAGGGGGAUAACGUCAGGAAAAGGGCGAUAAGAACGCCAACUAUCAGCUGAGCCUAGGUCGGAUUAGCUAGUUGGGGGGGUAAAGGCCUACCAAGGCGACGAUCCGUAACUGGUCUGAGAGGAUGAUCAGUCACACUGGAACUGAGACACGGUCCAGACUCCUACGGGAGGCAGCAGUGUGGAAUAUUGGACAAUGGGCGAAAGCCUGAUCCAGCCAGGCCGCGUGUGUGAAGAAGGUCUUCGGAUUGUAAAGCACUUUAAGUUGGGAGGCGUUACCAACAGAAUAAGCACCGGCUAACUUCGUGCCAGCAGCCGCGGUAAUUC